UCUUGGUCAUUUAGAGGAAGUAAAAGUCGUAACAAGGUCUCCGUUGGUGAACCAGCGGAGGGAUCAUUACAGGACUCGCAAGACUCCUACAACCCUGUGAACUUAACUAUAAGCACGUUGCUUCGGCGGGUGUCUCGGCGAGGGUCCUCCCUCCCCGGGGCGCUAAGCCCGCCGGCAGCCUACUAUACUCUGUCUCUUUGCGUUGGCAUCUCGAGUACAAUCAAACAAGUUAAAACUUUCAACAACGGAUCUCUUGGUUCUGGCAUCGAUGAAGAACGCAGCGAAAUGCGAUAAGUAAUGCGAAUUGCAGAAUUCCGUGAGUCAUCGAAUCUUUGAACGCACAUUGCGCCCGCCAGCAUUCUGGCGGGCAUGCCUGUUCGAGCGUCAUUUCAACCCUCAGGCCCUGCCUGGCGUUGGAGGACUGCGCACGCAGCCUCCCAAAGCAAGCGGCGGCGGCGCCCCAUAACCGAACGCAGUAGUUACAUCUCGUUCUGGGUCUGGGUCGUUGUCCUGCCGGAAAACCCCCAUCUUUACAAUGGUUGACCUCGAAUCAGGUAGGAAUACCCGCUGAACUUAAGCAUAUCAAUAAGCGGAGGAA
rnacentral:rRNA from 2 species